UGGGUCUUUAUGGGUUAUGGAGAUAUAUGGGGGAUAUGGGGUUAGCAUAGGUCAUUAUGGGGGAUAUGGGGGCUAUGGGGUCGUUAUGGGGGGGAUAUGGCGGAUAUGGGGGAUAGAUGGUCGUUAUGGGGUUACGGGGUGAUAUGCGGGAUAUCUAUGGGGGGAUAUAUGGGGAUAUAGGGAUAUAUAUGGGUCCCAAUGCAUCUCUAUGGGUCCCAAUGUGUCCCUAUGGGUCCCAAUGUGUCCCUAUGGGUCCCAAUGCAUCUCUAUGGGUCCCAAUGCAUCCCUAUGGGUCCCAAUGUGUCCCUAUGGGUCCCAAUGCAUCUCUAUGGGUCCCAAUGCAUCUCUAUGGGUCCCAGUGCAUCUCUAUGGGUCCCUAUGGGUCCCAAUGCACCCCUAUGUGCCCCAUGUAUCCCUAUGUGCCCCAUAUACCCCUAUGUUCCCAUGUAUCCCUAUGUGCCCCAUGUAUCCCUAUGGGUCCCUAUGGGUCCCAAUGCAUCUCUAUGGGUCCCUAUGGGUCCCAAUGCACCCCUAUGAGCCCCAUGUAUCCCUAUGUGCCCCAUGUAUCCCUAUGUGCCCCAUAUAUCCCUAUGUGCCCCAUAUACCCCUAUGUUCCCAUAUACCCCUAUGUUCCCAUAUAUCCCUAUGGGUCCCUAUGUCCCCAUAUACCCCUAUGUUCCCAUAUAUCCCUAUGUGCCCCAUAUAUCCCUAUGUGCCCCAUAUAUCCCCAUGUAUCCCUAUGUGCCCCAUAUAUCCCUAUGUUCCCAUAUAACCCUAUGUUCCCAUAUAUCCCUAUGUGUCCCUAUGUGCCCCAUAUAUCCCUAUGUGCCCCAUGUAUCCCUAUGAGCUCCAUAUAUCCCUAUGUGUCCCAUAUAUCCCUAUGUGCCCCAUAUAUCCCUAUGAGCUCCAUAUAUCCCUAUGUGCCCCAUGUAUCCCUAUGUGCCCCAUAUAUCCCUGUGUGCCCCAUGUAUCUCAAUGUGUCCCAGUGCAUCUCUAUGGGUCCCAAUGCAUCUCUAUGGGUCCCAAUGCUUUUCUAUGGGUCCCAAUGUUUCCCUAUGGGUCCCAAUGCAUCUCUAUGGGUCCCAAUGCAUCCCUAUGGGUCCCAAUGCGUCUCUAUGGGUCCCAAUGUGUCCCUAUGGGUCCCAAUGCAUCCCUAUGGGUCCCAAUGCGUCUCUAUGGGUCCCAAUGUGUCCCUAUGGGUCCCAAUGCAUCUCUAUGGGUCCCAAUGUGUCCCUAUGGGUCCCAAUGUGUCCCUAUGGGUCCCAAUGUUUCCCUAUGGGUCCCAAUGCGUCUCUAUGGGUCCCAAUGUGUCCCUAUGGGUCCCUAUGUGCCCCAUAUAUCCCUAUGGGUCCCUAUGUGCCCCAUAUACCCCUAUGUGCCCCAUAUACCCCUAUGUUCCCAUAUAUCCCUAUGUUCCCAUACACACAACACUAUAUCACCAUAUGCAGUCCCCAAAUAGUGCCCACAGUGACACAGUAUCCCCGAU
rnacentral:lncRNA from 1 species